AGGAUGAACGCUGGCGGCGUGCUUAACACAUGCAAGUCAAGGGGGCCCAGCAAUGGGUAACCGGCGAACGGGUGCGUAACACGUGAGCAACCUGCCGAAUUGUGGGGGAUAGCCGGCCCAACGGCCGGGUAAUACCGCAUACGCUCGAGACGAGGCAUUUCGACUCGAGGAAACCUACGGGACAUUUCGAGGGGCUCGCGGCCUAUCAGCUAGUUGGUGAGGUAACGGCUCACCAAGGCGACGACGGGUAGC
rnacentral:rRNA from 1 species